rnacentral:misc_RNA from 1 species
UUUUUUCGCAACUAAACUCUCCAGUAAGUCUCUACUGAUACCAAAUUAUGAUACAAGAAAGUCGAAUCUCGGGUGACACGGAGGAGACAAAUGUUAUAACAGUCUCAAAGAAAACAGAAAUCAGCUACAAAGGCUAUUCUAGACAAGUAUUUAACAUCACAGAAAAAACCUAAAUGGGGACUUCCAUUUUUAUUGGUGCAUGUAAGGUAUUUACUGAUGCAUUUUGAAGCCAAUCCUUGGCGCAAAUGAGGGCCUCCACGGUCUCAGGUCGCAAGGAACACCUGUAGCGAUCCAUCUCUUUGCCUACCGUGCUAAACACAGAAUCAGCUGUUACAGUAGAAACUGGAACAGACAAGAUGUCACGAGCCAUUUUUGACAGAGUUGGGUACUUCAUUCUGUUCAGUUUCCACCACCCAACAACGUCAAACUCAUGAACACGAGGCAACAAGGACUCAUCCAAAUAUUGAUCAAGUUCUGACCUUGACUGCUGGCUUGUUGUCUCCAUAAUAUAGGCAUCAAAAUCUGUAAGUCCGCCCCCACCAUUCUCCUGCUUCAAAGCUCCAUCAUCUACCUCUUCAGCAUAAGCUGGGGUCAGAGGCAGAGGAAGUGCCACGUAUUCAAGGAAGAGCUCGUGGAUUCCCUCCUCAACGAACUUCACAAAGGUGGCAGCUUCUUCACCAUAUAUUUUUGUAAAGCUGAAUUCUACAAGUUUCAUUUUGAAGCGUGGAUCCAUUACAACGGCAAUAGCUAAUAUUAGACAACAACUCUUCCAGUAUUUAUCAAACUCCUCUUGCAUUGUUUUGGUAAGACCGCUUAUGGAUGGAUCUUCACUUGCUGCAGCACGAGCCAGUUCCAAUUGAAUCUUCCAUGCUUCAUGGAAGAAUGUGUUGGUUGUUGGAAUUGUUGGUGCAGUCAGAAGAUUGGCAGUGUCAAAGAGGAUCUUCAAGUAAGUACAAAGAACCUCAACUUGCUUCCAAUCAUCCAUUGACAGGGCAUCCUUGUAAUCGGGAUCAGAUGUAUCCAAGCAUGAAAACACUUCCUUUAACUCUGAUGCAGCUAACAACAUCUCAUAUGUGGUGUUCCAUUGAGUCUGGUCAUCAAGAGCCAAAGUCUUUGUGCUUGGCACUUGAAGCUGCUGUUUGAGCUCAAUAAACUUUUCCUCGUGAAAUUCUGAUGUUUUCACGUACUUGACGCUAUCUCUUACUUUCUUAACAGUUUCAUGCAAAAAAUUAAAUGCACCUUGGGCAAUGCUGCUUAAAGUUCGAGCAAGACAACUUCCGACCAACAACUGACCGUUGAGCACAAGAGGGUUCUUCACAGAUAGUAAAGCUCUAAGAUUAUCAACAGAAGCAUCACCCAACGGUUGAUUAAUAGUGACAGAAAACAACUUACCUUCCAUACUCCAGUCAGAAAGGCAAGCAGCAACAGCAUGGCUGAAAGCCGUGUCAGAAUCUGGAUAUGGUUCCAUAAUGAUAUUGAGUAUUUUCCUGUGAAUUUUCCACUCACUGUCAAUAUACUGCCCGGUUAUGAACACAUAGCCCACAGUGUAGCAGGAGGACCACAUAUCUAGCGUUAAGCAGAUACGCCCAGGCACUCCCUCAAUGACCUUCUGAAUGGCUUGCUUCUCUCUAAGAUAAGUUGCCACACAAUCUCCUUGCACAGUGUUGAAGCUCACCAUAUCAAAACGAGGUUGAAGAUUCUGCACAAAAGCAAGAAAGCCUGGAUGCUCAACCAUGUGAAGGGGAUAGUCGUGCAUGAUGAUCAUCUUAGAGAUCUCUUGACGGCACCGGUCAGGAUCAAAAGCAAGGUAAGGAGAAGAUGCAGUCCUAUAACGCCGUUUUGGUGCAUCAGUACUACCACCAUAUCCACUCAUCUUAGGAGGUGUACUAUAUGGGCUCAAUUGAUUAUUCUGUUGGUUACGUAGGACAACUGGACAGGUUCCUUUUGCAAUAUGGCGUUUCAGGUGACUAGUGCCAGCUACUUUUGAACCUGUACUAUAUGCAAAUGAUUGCUUGCACUGCUUACAUUGUGCCCUUCUAGUUCCACCGCCGACAUUUUCAAUGGUGAAGUGUUCCCAAACUAUUGACUUCUUCUUCCUACGCUUGCUGGGCUGUGUUUCUGGAUUGUUUGGAGGUGUUUCUAUAUAGUUGGGUUGUGGUUCAGCAAGGACCAUCUCAUUUAGUGGGAUCAUCUCAUCAUCCGGGACCAUCUCAUUGCUAGGGACUAUCUCAUGCCCAAGCACCAUAUGAUGUUCAUGCAUCAUCUCAUGUUCCGGCAUCAUCUCAUGACUAUGUUCAUGCAUCAUCUCAUGUUCCGGCAUCAUCUCAUGACUAUGUUCAUGCAUCAUCUCAUGUUCCGGCAUCAUCUCAUGACU